UACGCAGGGGGCAAGCGUCAUCCGGAUUUACUGGGUGUAAAGGGAGCGUAGACGGCAGUGCAAGUCUGGAGUGAAAGGCGGGGGCUCAACCCCCGGACUGCUCUGGAAACUGUACGGCUGGAGUGCAGGAGAGGUAAGUGGAAUUCCUAGUGUAGCGGUGAAAUGCGUAGAUAUUAGGAGGAACACCAGUGGCGAAGGCGGCUUACUGGACUGUAACUGACGUUGAGGCUCGAAAGCGUGGGUAGCGAACAGG
rnacentral:rRNA from 1 species